CCUACGGGUGGCAGCAGUGGGGAAUAUUGCACAAUGGGGGAAACCCUGAUGCAGCGACGCCGCGUGAGCGAGGAAGUAUUUCGGUAUGUAAAGCUCUAUCAGCAGGGACGAAAAAAGACGGUACCUGACCAAGAAGCCCCGGCUAACUACGUGCCGGCAGCCGCGGUAAUACGCAGGGGGCAAUGGUUAUCGGGUUUUAGUGGGUGUAAGGGGAGCGUAAAGGGCAAGGCAAGCCAGAGGUGAAAGGGCAGGGCUCAACCCUGUACAUGCUUUGAAACUGUAGUGCUAGAGUGCAGGAGAGGUAAGUGGAAUUCCUAGUGUAGCGGUGAAAUGCGUAGAUAUUAGGAGGAACACCAGUGGCGAAGGCGGCUUACUGGACUGUAACUGACGUUGAGGCUCGAAAGCGUGGGGAGAAAACAGGAUUAGAUACCCUUGUAGUC
rnacentral:rRNA from 1 species